rnacentral:rRNA from 1 species
CCCUAUGGGGUGCACCAUCAGCAUAAUUCCCAGAAUAAUCAGGGGAAUGCCCAAAAGAGCGCCUAUCUGGGUGGCAGUUAACCCGAUUCCGAUAAUCAGGAAUACCAGGCCGAUUACCACGCCCAUGAUCCGCCCGGUAACCUUGAGGAUUAUCAAUGCCAGUUGAAAGACGAGCCAGAAGGGCCACAAAAACCAGGGUACUUUCUUUGUUUCUGCAUUCAUCGAAUUCCUUUUCUCAGCCAGUUGCUUGUCUGGUUGGUUUAGUUCCUUUAUAAGUGAUCUGCUGGAUCUAAACCUGAGAAAAUCUAUUGAUUCAACCCCAAUGCUUUGAUUGUAAUAACCAAUAGACCGGGAAUUUCUGCCUUGAAUACCGGAAUUGGCGGGAGAGC